rnacentral:rRNA from 1 species
CUUCGGGCCUCUCGCGUCAGGAUAUGCCUAGGUGGGAUUAGCUAGUUGGUGAGGUAAGGGCUCACCAAGGCGACGAUCCCUAGCUGGUCUGAGAGGAUGAUCAGCCACACUGGAACUGAGACACGGUCCAGACUCCUACGGGAGGCAGCAGUGGGGAAUAUUGCACAAUGGGCGCAAGCCUGAUGCAGCCAUGCCGCGUGUGUGAAGAAGGCCUUCGGGUUGUAAAGCACUUUCAGUCGUGAGGAAGGCGGGUACGUUAAUAGCGUAUUCGUUUGACGUUAGCGACAGAAGAAGCACCGGCUAACUCCGUGCCAGCAGCCGCGGUAAUACGGAGGGUGCGAGCGUUAAUCGGAAUUACUGGGCGUAAAGCGCAUGCAGGUGGUUUGUUAAGUCAGAUGUGAAAGCCCGGGGCUCAACCUCGGAAUAGCAUUUGAAACUGGCAGACUAGAGUACUGUAGAGGGGGGUAGAAUUUCAGGUGUAGCGGUGAAAUGCGUAGAGAUCUGAAGGAAUACCGGUGG